AUGAACGCUAGCGACAGGCCUAACACAUGCAAGUCAGGGGCAGCACAGGAGCAAUCUGAGGUGGCGACCGGCGCACGGGUGAGUAACACGUAUGCAACCUGCCUGUAAGCGGGGAAUAACCCGUUGAAAGACGGACUAAUACCGCAUAAUACUAAAUUACUGCAUGGUAAUUUAUUUAAACAUUUAUGGCUUACAGAUGGGCAUGCGCAUGAUUAGCUAGUUGGAGAGGUAACGGCUCCCCAAGGCAACGAUCAUUAGGGGUUCUGAGAGGAAGGUCCCCCCACACUGGUACUGAGACACGGACCAGACUCCUACGGGAGGCAGCAGUGAGGAAUAUUGGUCAAUGGACGAGAGUCUGAACCAGCCAAGUCGCGUGCAGGAAGAAUUGUCCUAUGGAUUGUAAACUGCUUUUGCAGGGGAAUAAAGUGCAUCACGUGUGAUGUUUUGUAUGUACUCUGCGAAUAAGGAUCGGCUAACUCCGUGCCAGCCGCGGC
rnacentral:rRNA from 1 species